GACGAACGCUGGCGGCGUGCUUAACACAUGCAAGUCGAACGGAAAGGCCCUGCUUGCAGGGUACUCGAGUGGCGAACGGGUGAGUAACACGUGGGUGAUCUGCCCUGCACUUCGGGAUAAGCCUGGGAAACUGGGUCUAAUACCGGAUAGGAGCCAUUUUUAGUGUGAUGGUUGGAAAGUUUUUUCGGUGUAGGAUGAGCUCGCGGCCUAUCAGCUUGUUGGUGGGGUAAUGGCCUACCAAGGCGGCGACGGGUAGCCGGCCUGAGAGGGUGGACGGCCACAUUGGGACUGAGAUACGGCCCAGACUCCUACGGGAGGCAGCAGUGGGGAAUAUUGCACAAUGGGCGCAAGCCUGAUGCAGCGACGCCGCGUGGGGGAUGACGGCCUUCGGGUUGUAAACUCCUUUCGCUAGGGACGAAGCUUUUGUGACGGUACCUAGAUAAGAGGCACCGGCUAACUACGUG
rnacentral:rRNA from 1 species